AGCAGUAUGAUUUCGUUGUUGUUCAGUUGUACUUUAAAAUGAACGUCAAAUUCUUUUUCAUUUUAUUUUCUAUUAUUUUUGGAGCAGUUCUAAUUUUUGGAGACACUGAUCCAAACUGUACUCCUACAGAAGAAUGUAAAACAAAUGAAACGUACACUUGUUCAGGGGGUGCUUGUGAACCAACUUGUGCAGAUCAGAAUCUAGAAUGCUGUAAACAAAAUAUCUGGGCCUACCAUGGUUGCCGAUGUACAAAAGGUUAUUUAAGUCUCUCCAAUGGCCAGUGUGUUUUGAAGAGUUGCCCUGAAUGCCAAAAAGAAGCUAAGCCAAAAUGCACCUGUUCCGAUUUCAACAAGGGCUUGUGCCAAAUGUAAAUUGAAGUUUAUAAAUCCAUAAUUAAGAAUAUGUUGAAAAAGUGUGAAUUUGAUUAUUGUUAUCACGAUAAAUUAAAUUAUUUCAACCACACAGCAUGCAUAGAUUCAAUCAUUGUUGUAACUUUAUUUUAACUUUAAAUAAAUAAUAAAGAGAUAAAUCAACUGUACUUCAUGAGCUGAA